rnacentral:rRNA from 1 species
UAGGGAAUCUUCGGCAAUGGACGGAAGUCUGACCGAGCAACGCCGCGUGAGUGAAGAAGGUUUUCGGAUCGUAAAGCUCUGUUGUAAGAGAAAAACGAGUGUGAGAGUGGAAAGUUCACACUGUGACGGUAUCUUACCAGAAAGGGACGGCUAACUACGUGCCAGCAGCCGCGGUAAUACGUAGGUCCCGAGCGUUGUCCGGAUUUAUUGGGCGUAAAGCGAGCGCAGGCGGUUAGAUAAGUCUGAAGUUAAAGGCUGUGGCUUAACCAUAGUAGGCUUUGGAAACUGUUUAACUUGAGUGCAAGAGGGGAGAGUGGAAUUCCAUGUGUAGCGGUGAAAUGCGUAGAUAUAUGGAGGAACACCGGUGGCGAAAGCGGCUCUCUGGCUUGUAACUGACGCUGAGGCUCGAAAGCGUGGGGAGCAAACAGGAUUAGAUACCCUGGUAGUCCACGCUGUAAACGAUGAGUGCUAGGUGUUAGACCCUUUCCGGGGUUUAGUGCCGUAGCUAACGCAUUAAGCACUCCGCCUGGGGAGUACGACCGCAAGGUU